UACGAAGGGGCUAGCGUUGUUCGGAAUCACUGGGCGUAAAGCGCACGUAGGCGGGUUCUUAAGUCAGGGGUGAAAUCCUGGAGCUCAACUCCAGAACUGCCUUUGAUACUGGGAAUCGUCGAGUCCGGGAGAGGUGAGUGGAACUGCGAGUGUAGAGGUGAAAUUCGUAGAUAUUCGCAAGAACACCAGUGGCGAAGGCGGCUCACUGGCCCGGUACUGACGCUGAGGUGCGAAAGCGUGGGGAGCAAACAGG
rnacentral:rRNA from 1 species